CCUGGGGGUAGUGGAACGGGGUAUGAAGCUAAAGCGGUAGGAAUCUACCUAGUAGUACGGAAUAGCCAUUAGAAAUGGUGGGUAAUACUGUAUAAUCCCCGAGGGGGAAAGAUUUAUCGCUAUUAGAUGAGCCUACGUUAGAUUAGCUAGUUGGUGAGGUAAUGGCUUACCAAGGCUAUGAUCUAUAGCUGGUCUGAGAGGACGAUCAGCCACACUGGAACUGAGAUACGGUCCAGACUCCUACGGGAGGCAGCAGUGGGGAAUAUUGGACAAUGGGCGAAAGCCUGAUCCAGCUAUGCCGCGUGAGUGAAGAAGGCCUUCGGGUUGUAAAACUCUUUCAAUGGGGAAGAUAAUGACGGUACCCACAGAA
rnacentral:rRNA from 1 species